UACGUAGGUGGCAAGCGUUGUCCGGAUUUACUGGGCGUAAAGAGCGCGCAGGCGGUCGUUCAAGUCGCGUGUGAAAGCCCCCGGCUCAACUGGGGAGGGUCACGCGAUACUGAUCGACUCGAAGGCAGGAGAGGGAAGUGGAAUUCCCGGUGUAGUGGUGAAAUGCGUAGAUAUUGGGAGGAACACCAGUGGCGAAGGCGACUUCCUGGCCUGUUCUUGACGCUGAGGCGCGAAAGCUAGGGGAGCAAC
rnacentral:rRNA from 1 species